UCAUGGAUCUCUUGGUGGGUC
rnacentral:miRNA from 15 species